rnacentral:lncRNA from 1 species
CCCCCAGCCAUCUCUGCAUCUGCAACACUUAUACAACACAAAAGCCACAAUGGCUGAAGUGUACAGCAUUCCCAAAAGCAGCACCCUGGCCCUGGCCCCCUCAUGCUGGUCCUUGAACAGCAGUUGCCCGCAUUCUGUGGCCCCAGGGCCUACAUGGGCCGGGUUCCCUGUGGAAGGAGGGCAAAGUAGAUAUUCAUUCUUUUACAGAUUUUACAUAAAGAUCUGUGUUUUUUUUUUUUUAGGUUUAUGUUAGUUGACAUGGAAUGGAGGCAUUAAUCAGGUCAAGACUAAAAUCUAGAGAAGAUAAAUCCAAUGCAUAUGGAGCAGUGGAAUCACUUCAGGAGGAACUGAACAGACUGCUUUAAUUCACUGCAGAAUUUUGAACAGCAAGAAAUCCAAAGACUCAAGUUUCCAGCAUAGAGGUGUGAUGAGAUGGAGAAUGUUUGUAUGAAGAGAGAAACAGGGGUGUUGCUAAAAACAAAAAAGAAGCUGGGUUCCUCCUUGGAAUGGCCCUCCCUUGCUCUACUUGUUUUGGGUUUUAGGCUCCCCUUUAUACAACAUGGCUCUUUGGAGUGCUGGAGUAGGAUUAAAAAGAAGAAAGAGGCCAGGCAUGGUGGAGGAGGAGGAGGAGGAGGGAGAGGAAGCUGAACUGGCUUGUAGAAGAUUUCAUAGAUGUCUGAUGCCCACAGUACUAUCAGAGCUUGAACAAAAACAGCUCCACCAAAUUCAAAGUAGAAAUUUGGAACAAGAUUUGAACAAGAAAAAAAAUACCACUUCCCAUAACACAGUCUCCUCCUCUCCUAGCUUUAGCCCUUAACACAGAGUGUGGCACAUCUAACAUGGUCAGUAAAGAAUUCCACCAACUCAAGAACGAAAAAUAAACUCCCUAUCAUGGAUAAAUGUCUUUCCCCAUUAUAUAUCUUUCUUUCCUCUUUAUCUUCUCUUUCUUCAUCCCUUUCUUCUCACAUUUUUUCUUCAUUUUCUGUAUAAUAGCAAGUCUCCUAGGCCAGGUGGCUGUGCUGGCCAUUCCCAGUAGUUCUCAAAAACACAAACAGAUCCUUCUGGAAAGUUCUGUCUUGAAUUGGUCCCUGUUGCAGGACAGUACAUUAGAAAUGGUAUUUCUAGAAGGCUUGGAGAAGUAGAUGAUAAGCCAGAGUUUCCUUCUUGGGAUUCCUCUCCCGAGUCUGAACUGGAAACCAUUGACCUAGUUGUUAAACAAUGGAGGCCCCCAACCCAGAACAUUUUAAUGGGAUAACUUUUAGAUUUUCUUGAGAAACAUGAACUGAGAAUAGAAAGACUUCUACAUUCUCUCACUGCCCUGGCCAUUCCGGUCCCUAUUUCAGGGUCUCAGUCCCUCAGGAGAGAUAUACGAGACCCCCAAUGGGUGUCCAAUCCUUGGAUUUUCCUCUAAGACUUUAUCCAUGUGUUAAGAGUCCACAAUGCACCUCCAAAGAAGCUCCUGUGUGACCACCAUUCAUCUUCUGAGGAUAUCAGCGAUCCUUUCAUGCCAUCCCAUGCCAAGACUAACACUGCUCUGUGGUGAUCCCCCAUCCUAUAUCUGUAGGAAGCCAUGCUGGGUCUGCCCGAGCCAGAGUUUUCAAAAUCUAUAAUCCCUCCAGAACCUCCUUGCUUUCCUCAACAUAGAUUUUUGCCAAAGGAGAUCAGAUCCAAUUGGAAGAUCCCUCCCCCGCAGCAGAAUACUUUGUAAUUGGAUUAGUCUCAACAGCAACAGUAGUUCUGGCCUUGAAUAUGAGUUAAUCAGCCAAGUCACAACACAAGAAAGCUGACUGCACCAGAAAACCCUGUACAAUCCGUGAAUUUCUUCAUGGUUGAGACUCAGAUGAAUCAUCAUGUUGAUCUGACUCAUGCUUCUCCCUGCCUUAGGCCAAGAGACUGAGGCUUCACCUGGGAUCUGCCUCUUUCCCACUCAAGAGUCAAAUGAGCCCCCAAGGAGUAAGAAAAAAAUGUGAUUGAUUCUGAUUUGCACCCCAGUCUUUUUUUAAUUUAUCAUAAAGAAUCAAAUAUUUACAUUAGAAGAUAUCUUGUGCUGUGAAAAAAAAG